rnacentral:rRNA from 1 species
CCUACGGGUGGCAGCAGUGAGGAAUAUUGGUCAAUGGGCUUACGCCUGAACCAGCCAAGUCGCGUGAGGGAAGACUGCCCUAUGGGUUGUAAACCUCUUUUGUCGGGGAGCAAAGCGAGUCACGUGUGACUCAUUGAGAGUACCCGAAGAAAAAGCAUCGGCUAACUCCGUGCCAGCAGCCGCGGUAAUACGGAGGAUGCGAGCGUUAUCCGGAUUUAUUGGGUUUAAAGGGUGCGCAGGCGGAGGUGCAAGUCAGCGGUCAAAUUACGGGGCUCAACCCCGUACUGCCGUUGAAACUGCAUCCCUUGAGUGCGCGAGAAGUAUGCGGAAUGCGUGGUGUAGCGGUGAAAUGCAUAGAUAUCACGCAGAACUCCGAUUGCGAAGGCAGCAUACCGGCGCCCGACUGACGCUGAGGCACGAAAGCGUGGGUAUCGAACAGGAUUAGAUACCCGGGUAGUC